rnacentral:lncRNA from 10 species
AGAGGAGGAAGAUGACUUGAGGAUUAGAAAACUGAAGCUUCAAGAACAGACUUGCCUAACAACAGGAAACUUGUAUGUCUCGAAGUGGCAAUUCACACAUAAGGCUCCAUGACUCCUGAACUCUCACAAAUAUUAGUUGGCUCUUUUCAUGGUUUUACUGAAGUUGCUAGAAGUUUACAGAAAAGGAAGUGCAGGAACAUUUCACAAAUCUACAAUCUGUGAGUAUCACAUCCUGUAUAGCUGUAAACACUGGAAUAAGGAAGGGCUGAUGACUUUCAGAAGAUGAAGGUAAGUAGAAACCGUUGAUGGGACUGAGAAACCAGAGUUAAAACCUCUUUGGAGCUUCUGAGGACUCAGCUGGAACCAACGGGCACAGGUAGGUAAUGCUGGAAGACUUUUCUCAUCUCACUAUUCCCUUGCCGUGACCUCAUUAGAGGAGUAAUUUAACUUGAAACUCCUUGACAGCAGUUAAGAGACACUAGGGCCUUUUGGAAAUAGAGUGGGCAAAUGGAAGGAGUAUCUGUUUUUAACUCUGUGUCCGCUGUAUUC